rnacentral:rRNA from 1 species
UGAAUCCAUAGGUGCAAGAGGCGAACCAGGGGAACUGAAACAUCUAAGUACCCUGAGGAAAAGAAAUCAACCGAGAUUCCCUUAGUAGUGGCGAGCGAACGGGGAUUAGCCCUUAAGCUUCAUUGAUUUUAGCGGAACGCUCUGGAAAGUGCGGCCAUAGUGGGUGAUAGCCCCGUACGCGAAAGGAUCUUUGAAGUGAAAUCGAGUAGGACGGAGCACGAGAAACUUUGUCUGAACAUGGGGGGACCAUCCUCCAAGGCUAAAUACUACUGACUGACCGAUAGUGAACCAGUACCGUGAGGGAAAGGCGAAAAGAACCCCGGAGAGGGGAGUGAAAUA